rnacentral:rRNA from 1 species
UGGCGAACGGGUGAGUAACGCGUGAGUAACCUGCCCUGGAGUGGGGGACAACAGUUGGAAACGACUGCUAAUACCGCAUAAGCCCACGGAUCCGCAUGGAUCUGCGGGAAAAGGAUUUAUUUGCUUCAGGAUGGACUCGCGUCCAAUUAGCUAGUCGGUGAGGUAACGGCCCACCAAGGCGACGAUUGGUAGCCGGACUGAGAGGUUGAACGGCCACAUUGGGACUGAGACACGGCCCAGACUCCUACGGGAGGCAGCAUG